GAUGAAGAACGUAGCGAAAUGCGAUAAGUAAUGUGAAUUGCAGAAUUCAGUGAAUCAUCGAAUCUUUGAACGCACAUUGCGCCCGCCAGUAUUCUGGCGGGCAUGCCUGUCCGAGCGUCAUUUCAACCCUCGAACCCCUCCGGGGGGUCGGCGUUGGGGAUCGGCCCUGCCUCUUGGCGGUGGCCGUCUCCGAAAUACAGUGGCGGUCUCGCCGCAGCCUCUCCUGCGUAGUAGUUUGCACACUCGCAUCGGGAGCGCGGCGCGUCCACAGCCGUUAAACACCCAACUUCUGAAAUGUUGACCUCGGAUCAGGUAGGAAUACCCGCUGAACUUAAGCAUAUCAAUAAGCGGAGGA
rnacentral:misc_RNA from 1 species